CACUAGAUGUCAACGAUCUUUAUAAAGUUGUUUGAAGCGUCUAUGAUAAACAGAGAGCAAAUUAGAAUCCAAGGAAGUUGACAUGUCAUCACUUCAUUUUUUUGGGCCUGCGCAUAAAUCUGAGAAACGUGAGUUUGUCAUCAUUUUUUAUCUAGACAUAGGAUAGGUUGUGUGAAAAUAUUACUGAUGUUUAACGUUAAAAAUGGAACAAAAGAUUAAUGCUAAACAACAUUUGACAUGUUUGAACGAACAUAAAUAGAUUAUUUACUAGGUUUUUUUAGCUUUUCGGCGUGAUUUUACCAGCCCCCCAACCACGUUUUGUGGGAGCAUAAUGAACGCUAAGUACUUGGUGUUAUUUGGACAUAAAUGAUGAACUUUGUCAAAAGAAACCACAUUUGUUCCGGACCUGGAAUGCCUUCCGGACCUGGGAUCCUGCCUUCUGAUGGAGAUAAUCAAAGGUGACUACCUCAUGAAGCUGGUUUAGAGAAUGCCAAGAGUGUACAAAGCUGUCAUCAAGAGAUACCAAAGGUGCUUCAUCUCCACAGAGGAACUGUGAAUCUCCGUCAGAUUGACCAUCGGGUUCUUGUUCACCUCCCUGACCAAGGCCCUUCUCCCCCGAUUGCUCAGUUUGGCCGUGCGGCCAGCUCUAGGAAGAGUCUUGGUGGUUCCAAAGUUCUUCCAUUUAAGAAUGAUGGAGGCUACUAUGUUCUUGGGGACCUUCAAUGCUGCAGACAUUUUUUGGUACCCUUCCCCAGACCUGUGACUUGACACAAUAGUGUCUCGAAGCUUUACGGACAACUCCUUCGACUUCAUGGCUUGUUUUUUGCUCUGACUUGCACUGUCAACUGUGGGACCUUAUAUAGACAGGUGUGUGCCUUUCGAAAUCAUGUCCAAUCAAUUGAAUUUACCACAGGUGGACUCCAAUCAAGUUGUAGAUACAUCUCAAGGAUGAUCAAUGGAAACAGGAUGCAGCUGAGCUCAUUUUCGAGUUCAUAGCAAAUGGUCUGAAUACUUAUGUGAAUUAGAUAUUUCUGUUUUUUAUUUGUAAUAAAUUUGCAAACAAGUCUAAAAACCUGUUUUCACUUUGUCAUUAUGGGGUAUUGUGUGAAGAUUGAUGAGGAAAAAAAGAAUUGUAUCAAUUUUAGAAUAGGGCUGUAACGUAACAAAAUGUGGUAAAAGUCAAGGGGUUUCCGAAUCCACUGUAUCAAAACCAACAACCUACUUGAAGGUAACAACCCUAACAAAACCAAACUUACUUGAAGGUAACAGCACUGACUGUUGCCUCUAGUGUCCGGUUUCCACGUAAUCUCCCAACGUCCUCAGAUUUGGAUGGACGUUUAAUACCGACUUGUAUCACGGUUGACCUGCCUGUUCUGCGUGAUGCGUGUGUAUCUGGCUGUUUAUUUCUCCAUAUGUUAGGCACUAUUCUCCUACACUGUUAUAUCUACCUUUCAAACAUUUCACCCAGUAAAAACUUUUCUGAGAUUUAACUUCGGCAUCCAAAGUGACCAGACAGACCAGAGUGAUUUG
rnacentral:lncRNA from 1 species